rnacentral:rRNA from 1 species
AUUGAACGCUGGCGGCAGGCCUAACACAUGCAAGUCGAGCGAGCGGCGGACGGGUGAGUAAUGUAUGGGGACUGCCCGAUAGAGGGGGAUAACUACUGGAAACGGUAGCUAAUACCGCAUACUAUCGGAUAACCCAUAGGGGAGUAGCUAGUAGGUGAGGUAAUGGUGCACCUAGGCGACGAUCCCUAGCUGGUCUGAGAGGAGGAUCAGCCACGCUGGGAAUGUGACGCGGCCCAGACUCCUUCGGGGGCAGCGGUGGGGAAUAUUGAGCAGUGGGCGCAGGCCUGAUGCAGCCAUGCCGCGUGUAAGAGGAGGGCCCUAGGGUUGUAAAGUACUUUCAGUCGGGAGGCGUUGCCGACAGAAGAAGCACCGGCUAACUCCGUGCCAGCCGCCGCGGUAAUUC